GAUGAACGCUGGCGGCGUGCCUAAUACAUGCAAGUCGAGCGAACAGACGAGGAGCUUGCUCCUUUGACGUUAGCGGCGGACGGGUGAGUAACACGUGGGUAACCUACCUAUAAGACUGGGAUAACUUCGGGAAACCGGAGCUAAUACCGGAUAAUAUUUCGAACCGCAUGGUUCGAUAGUGAAAGAUGGCUUUGCUAUCACUUAUAGAUGGACCUGCGCCGUAUUAGCUAGUUGGUAAGGUAACGGCUUACCAAGGCAACGAUACGUAGCCGACCUGAGAGGGUGAUCGGCCACACUGGAACUGAGACACGGUCCAGACUCCUACGGGAGGCAGCAGUAGGGAAUAUUGCGCAAUGGGCGAAAGCCUGACGGAGCAACGCCGCGUGAGUGAUGAAGGUCUUCGGAUCGUAAAACUCUGUUAUUAGGGAAGAAAAAACGUGUAAGUAACUGUGCACGUCUUGACGGUACCUAAACAGAAAGCAACGGCUAACUACGUG
rnacentral:rRNA from 1 species